AAGAGAUUACAGGCAACCAGAACAGAGAUAGCUACACACAGGAAACAGACCAGGUCUGUGUAGUUUAGUAACAGGAUGGGACUUCAAGUAUCUCUUGCAGAUAACUCUACUUAAAAUCUAACUAAUCACUCCAGAAGAUAGGAGGCAAUUUAACUUAAUUUCAGUUUUCUCCGUGGUUACGAGCAAAGUACAACAUGACAUCCAAGGCUAGAACACCUGGUGGUACAUCAAUAAAGUCUUCCACUGGAUUUGAUUUCUGCAUGAAAAACAUGGUAUCUGAGCCUAGAGUACUAAUGGUACAUAAGAUUUCCACUGGAUUCAGUUUAAGAAUUUUGUGACUUGCGAACUGUGUUUAUAUUAGGAUCACCUUCCACAUCAAAAGCUAUUCUACGAAGCUCUUCAAUUUCACGUAGGAUAAGCUGAACAGGUAAAAGGAUCAGGCAAGCAUGGGACCUGUUUCAGAUGUGAAAGUAGUUUUUACCAUAACAAUGUUUAUUAAAACAUUGCCAGAAAAAAUUACUGCACUCACAGGAUCAUGGACGUCAACUGGCUUCCUCAUCCUGUCUUCAUUGAGAUUAAGCAGCAAGGUCUGUAGUACAUACAGUUCAUGGGCCAUCCCUGCACCAACAUUCUGACCACGGAUUACAUUCUGGACAUUGAACAACAGAUUCAAGAAUGUCUAAUGCUGACUGAAGACAGGAGGUAUCCAAGUUGCUAGCUGAGAUGUUGACACAGUCAGCCACCUGCAAGAUAUAAUAA